rnacentral:rRNA from 1 species
GUGAGGAAUCUUGCGCAAUGGGGGAAACCCUGACGCAGCAACGCCGCGUGAGUGAGGAAGGUUUUCGGAUCGUAAAGCUCUGUCGGGUGGAAAGAAAUGCAUGGAGGUUAAUAUCCCUCAUGCUUGACGGUACCACCAGAGGAAGCACCGGCUAACUCCGUGCCAGCAGCCGCGGUAAUACGGGGGGUGCAAGCGUUGUUCGGAAUUAUUGGGCGUAAAGAGCGUGUAGGCGGCUUGGUAAGUCAGAUGUGAAAUCCCUGGGCUUAACCCAGGAAGUGCAUUUGAAACUGUCAGGCUCGAGUAGGGGAGAGGGAAGUGGAAUUCCUGGUGUAGAGGUGAAAUUCGUAGAUAUCAGGAGGAACACCGGCGGCGAAGGCGACUUCCUGGCCCUAUACUGACGCUGAGACGCGAGAGCGUGGGUAGCAAACAGGAUUAGAAACCCCAGUAGUCC